UACGAAGGGGGCUAGCGUUGCUCGGAAUCACUGGGCGUAAAGCGCACGUAGGCGGACUCUUAAGUCGGUGGUGAAAUCCUGGAGCUCAACUCCAGAACUGCCUUUGAUACUGUCGGCCUCGAGGGAGGUAGGGGCAUGCGGAACUUCCGGUGGAGCGGUGAAAUGCGUAGAUAUCGGAAGGAACGCCGGUGGCGAAAGCGGCGUGCUGGACCUCUUCUGACGCUGAACGGCGAAAGCUAGGGGAGCAAACGGG
rnacentral:rRNA from 1 species